rnacentral:rRNA from 1 species
GCACAAGCGGUGGAUGAUGUGGUUAAUUCGAUGCAACGCGAAAACCUUACCACCUUUGACAUGUACGGAAUCCUUUAGAGAUAGAGGAGUGCUCGAAAGAGAGCCGUAACACAGGUGCUGCAUGGCUGUCGUCAGCUCGUGUCGUGAGAUGUUGGGUUAAGUCCCGCAACGAGCGCAACCCUUGUCAUUAGUUGCUACAUUCAGUUGGGCACUCUAAUGAGACUGCCGGUGACAAGCCGGAGGAAGGUGGGGAUGACGUCAAGUCCUCAUGGCCCUUAUAGGUGGGGCUACACACGUCAUACAAUGGCUGGUACAAAGGGUUGCCAACCCGCGAGGGGGAGCCAAUCCCAUAAAGCCAGUCGUAGUCCGGAUCGUAGUCUGCAACUCGACUACGUGAAGUCGGAAUCGCUAGUAAUCGUGGAUCAGAAUGUCACGGUGAAUACGUUCCCGGGUCUU